UCGCGAGAAGUCCACUGAACCUUAUCAUUUAGAGGAAGGAGAAGUCG
rnacentral:rRNA from 1 species